rnacentral:rRNA from 1 species
UUGAGACGCGGCAUACGGCUCAGUAACACGUGGUUAACCUACCCUCAGGACAGGGACAAACCCGGGAAACUGGGGCUAAUACCAGAUAGGCGAGGACGCCUGGAAUGGUUCUUCACCCAAAGGACCUUGGAAACAUGCUUCCAAGUCGCCUGGGGAUGGGACCGCGUCCGAUCAGGUUGUUGGUGAGGUAACGGCUCACCAAGCCUAUAACCGGUACGGGCCGUGAGAGCGGUAGCCCGGAGAUGGGCACUGAGACAAGGGCCCAGGCCCUACGGGGCGCAGCAGUCGCGAAAACUCCGCAAUGCACGAAAGUGUGACGGGGCUACCCCGAGUGCCGUCCGCUGAGGACGGCUUUUCCCCGGUGUAACUAGCCGGGGGAAUAAGGAGAGGGCAAGACUGGUGUCAGCCGCCGCGGUAAUACCAGCUCUCCGAGUUGUAGGGAUGAUUAUUGGGCUUAAAGCGUCCGUAGCCGGCUUAGCAAGUCUCCUGUUAAAUUCAGCGACCCAAUCGUUGAGCCGCGGGAGAUACUACUAGGCUAGGAGGCGGGAGAGGUCGACGGUACUUUCGGGGUAGGGGUGACAUCCUAUAAUCCCG